rnacentral:rRNA from 1 species
UACGUAGGUGACCAGCGUUGUCCGGAUUUACUGGGCGUAAAGAGCGCGCAGGCGGUCGUUCAAGUCGAGUGUGAAAGCCCCCGGCUCAACUGGGGAGGGUCACUCGAUACUGAUCGACUUGAAGGCAGGAGAGGGAAGCGGAAUUCCCGGUGUAGUGGUGAAAUGCGUAGAUAUCGGGAGGAACACCAGUGGCGAAGGCGGGUGCUCUGGGCCGGAACUGACGCUGAGGAGCGAAAGCGUGGGGAGCAAACAGG